rnacentral:piRNA from 1 species
UUUAAAGUAUGUGUGUGCUUAUGUUGAUGU